UACGUAGGGUGCGAGCGUUAAUCGGAAUUACUGGGCGUAAAGCGUGCGCAGGCGGCGCGUUAAGACAGGUGUGAAAGCCCCGAGCUUAACUUGGGAAUUGCGCUUGUGACUGGCGUGCUGGAGUGUGGCAGAGGGAGGUGGAAUUCCACGUGUAGCAGUGAAAUGCGUAGAGAUGUGGAGGAACACCGAUGGCGAAGGCAAUCCCCUGGACCUGUACUGACGCUCAUGCACGAAAGCGUGGGGAGCAAACGGG
rnacentral:rRNA from 1 species